rnacentral:rRNA from 1 species
GGUUAAGCGACUAAGCGUACACGGUGGAUGCCCUGGCAGUCAGAGGCGAUGAAGGGCGUGCUAAUCUGCGAUAAGCGCCGGUAAGGUGAUAUGAACCGUUAUAACCGGCGAUACCCGAAUGGGGAAACCCAGUGUGACUCGUCACACUAUCAUUAACUGAAUCCAUAGGUUAAUGAGGCGAACCGGGGGAACUGAAACAUCUAAGUACCCCGAGGAAAAGAAAUCAACCGAGAUUCCCCCAGUAGCGGCGAGCGAACGGGGAGGAGCCCAGAGCCUGAAUCAGCAUGUGUGUUAGUGGAAGCGUCUGGAAAGGCGCGCGAUACAGGGUGACAGCCCCGUACACAAAAGCGCAUGUGCUGUGAGCUCGAUGAGUAGGGCGGGACACGUGGUAUCCUGUCUGAAUAUGGGGGGACCAUCCUCCAAGGCUAAAUACUCCUGACUGACCGAUAGUGAACCAGUACCGUGAGGGAAAGGCGAAAAGAACCCCGGCGAGGGGAGUGAAAAAGAACCUGAAACCGUGUACGUACAAGCAGUGGGAGCCCCACCACCAAAGCAUUUGCUGUACCGCGUUGACGGAGCGAAGCGACGUCAAACCGAUAAAACAGCAGUGUAAAGUGAGCCGCAGGGCGCUUUGCGCGACAGCGCAAAGGCAGGCGGUUUCGCGUAGCGAAAGCGAAUGCUUUGGGGUGGGGUGACUGCGUACCUUUUGUAUAAUGGGUCAGCGACUUAUAUUCUGUAGCAAGGUUAACCGAAUAGGGGAGCCGGAGGGAAACCGAGUCUUAAUUGGGCGUUAAGUUGCAGGGUAUAGACCCGAAACCCGGUGAUCUAGCCAUGGGC